GGACUACUAGGGUUUCUAAUCCUGUUCGCUCCCCACGCUUUCGCGUCUCAGCGUCAGUACCGUCCCAGAGAGCCGCUUUCGCCACGGGUGUUCUUCCUGAUAUCUGCGCAUUCCACCGCUACACCAGGAAUUCCACUCUCCUCUUCCGGACUCUAGCCAAAUGGUUUCGGUCGACGUCUGAAGGUUAAGCCUCCAGUUUUCACAACCGACCUACCUGGCCGCCUACACGCUCUUUACGCCCAAUAAAUCCGGACAACGCUUGCCCCCUACGUAUUACCGCGGCUGCUGGCAC
rnacentral:rRNA from 1 species